rnacentral:antisense_RNA from 1 species
GCGCAUCCUAGGUCCCCCAGGUCUCUCCGGGCCUCCGGCUCCGUAUAGCUGCGCAUCCUAGCCCGAAGCUGAUGCUGCCCGGUCGGCCCCGGCCUUCCCGGCUGCCUGACCCGCCGGGCCCCAAGCCCCGGGCUCCGGCCUGGGCCCAGCGGCCUGGAGCGCGGCCUUGGCCCGUCUGCCCGCCGCCUCGCCGCCACGACCUCGCCCGUCUGUGCCCCACCGGCCGCACCUUUGAAUAGGUAGUCGUACUCGUCGUCCCGGGUCCCCAUUGUCCUGGCGCUUCCGGCGGGAUCGGCAACUCCGCAGCCCCACCACAAACACCCGACGGGGGCGGAGCCGGCGCCGCGCAGAGCGGCGGUUGAAUGGCCUAUCAGCGGCGAAUGGAGUAGCGACGGGCACCCAGCGGAGCCAAUCAGAGGUGGAAGUAGUGCUCUGAGGGUGGGCGCCGCUUGGUAUCCACCCUCCUCGCCCUCGGUGUCCUGGGGAAAGGCGGAAGGAUUGCGGACCUUUUUGAAGUGAUGGACGAGCUAGCCUAUCAGGGGCGAGCUUAAGAGGGCGGGGCGGAAGACUGGAGGAAUGAAAUGGAUUGACAGACCAACUAACUAAUGAGAGGCUUGAUUGAGAACCUACCCGACUAUCAGAGGACCUGUCCGGGAAGGGAAAUGGGGCUACGUCCAGACAGAAUCUCACUCUGUUGCCUGGGCUGGAGUGCAGUGGCGCUGUGUCCGGAAUUGGUGGGUUCUUGGUCUCCCUGACUUCAAGAACGAAGCUGCAGACCCUUGUGAGAUGGGGUUUCACCAUGUUGGUCAGGCUGGUCUCGAACUCCUGACCUCAAGUGAUCUGUCUGUCUCGGCCUCACAAAUGGCUGGGAUUACAGGCACGAGACACCGUGCCUGGCCCUGGGAACAUGUUUACAUGGACUUUGUUCACUUUUUAAAACAAACUGAGGGUGACUUACUAGAUCUGUGAACUAAACAAAAAGAAAAAAAAGAAAGAAAGAAAACAAACAA